rnacentral:rRNA from 1 species
UACGGGAGGCAGCAGUGAGGAAUAUUGGUCAAUGGACGAGAGUCUGAACCAGCCAAGUAGCGUGCAGGAUGACGGCCCUAUGGGUUGUAAACUGCUUUUAUACAGGGAUAAAGUAGGGAACGUGUUCCCUUUUGCAGGUACNGUAUGAAUAAGGACCGGCUAAUUCCGUGCCAGCAGCCGCGGUAAU